rnacentral:rRNA from 1 species
GACGAACGCUGGCGGCGUGCCUAAUACAUGCAAGUUGAGCGAUGAAGCUUGGUGCUUGCACCAAUUUGAAGAGCAGCGAACGGGUGAGUAACGCGUGGGGAAUCUGCCUUUGAGCGGGGGACAACAUUUGGAAACGAAUGCUAAUACCGCAUAACAACUUUAAACAUAAGUUUUAAGUUUGAAAGAUGCAAUUGCAUCACUCAAAGAUGAUCCCGCGUUGUAUUAGCUAGUUGGUGAGGUAAAGGCUCACCAAGGCGAUGAUACAUAGCCGACCUGAGAGGGUGGUCGGCCACAUUGGGACUGAGACACGGCCCAAACUCCUACGGGAGGGAGCAGUAGGGGAUCUUCGGCAAUGGACGAAAGUCUGACCGAGCAACGCCGCGGGAGUGAAGAAGGUUUUCGGAUCGUAAAACUCUGUUGGUAGAGAAGAACGUUGGUGGGAGUGGAAAGCUCAGCAAGUGACGGUAACUACCCAGAAAGGGACGGCUAACUACGUG